ensembl:lncRNA
CCUGAGCUUUUGUGAAGGCGCGUCUAAAAUAGAAUAACAAACAUAAUUAGAUAGGGAAUGGUUUUAAAUAAUUGCCUGCAUCUUUGACUUCCGUCGCAUAUAUUCUGCCUCACACGUCUUACUUUCAAUAGCUGCGCGCGACACGUGUUGGAUCUCUUUGCAGUCGGGGCUCUGAAAGAUCUGCACGUUAGGUCCUCGAUAUUGGAGUUGAAGUCAGUAUGCUCUGGAUCUCCUGUUUAAAACGGCCCCUCCCAACGGGGUCAACAUGGCUGAUGCAUGGUCAGUGUAUCAGUUUUGCGGGAUGUCUUUCACCGCAUACACGAAGUACCACCUGGAAAGACAUGCCAUGUUGAGUCGGCUCCAUGGCAACCAGAUGGAGUCCAAUGGCCAUCAGAUCUUAAUCUGUGUGAGAUUAUGCUUGAAUACUCAUGGAAUCAUCUAGAUGGCCCUGCUUUACAUCUAGCAAGAAUAAUCACUGUACUGAUGGAGUGACCAUUUCCUUUAAGAUGAAGCAUGCCAACGGCACAUUUCUAUUGGCUGCUUUGCGCUGAGGUGAUCGUUCAGUUCUGAGUGCUCAACUGUCAUCUAGAAAUGGAGACGUCACUCCUGAUGUGAUGAAAUGAUCUUUGAGGUUUGGUUCUGAGUGCUCAACUGUUUCAUCUAGAAAUGGAGAUGUCACUCCUGAUGUGAUGGAACAAUCAUUGGGUGCAUCGGUUUUGCGGGUUGUCAUCACCGCAUAAACAAAGUACCACCUGGAAAGACAUGCCAUGUUGAGUCGGCUCCAUGGCAACCAGAUGGAGUCCAAUGGCCAUCAGAUCUUAAUCUGUGAGAUUAUGCUUGAAUACUCCUGGGAUCAUCUGGGUGGCCCUGCUUUACAUCUUGGUAGCACGAAUAAUGGAGAUAUUAUCACUGUACUGAUGGAGUGACCAUUUCCGUUAAGAUGAAGCAUGGCAACGGCACAUUUCUAUUGGCUGCUGUGCGCUGAGGUGAUCGUUCAGGGUCAGUUCUGAGUGCUCAACUGUCAUCUAGAAAUGGAGACGUCACUCCUGAUGUGAUGGAACGAUCAUUAGGAUUAUGCUUGAAUACUCAUGGAAUCAUCUAUAUGGCCCUGCUUUACAUCUUGGUAGCAAGAAAAAUUAAUGUACUGAUGGAGUGACCAUUUCCGUUAAGAUGAAGCAUGCCAACGGCACAUUUCUAUUGGCUGCUUUGUGCUGAGUUCUGAGUGCUCAACUGUUUCAUCGAGAAAUGGAGAUGUCACUCCUGAUGUGAUGGAACGAUUAUUGGGAUUAUGCUUGAAUACUCAUGGAAUCAUCUAUAUGGCCCUGCUUUACAUCUUGGUAGCAAGAAAAAUUAAUGUACUGAUGGAGUGACCAUUUCCGUUAAGAUGAAGCAUGCCAACGGCACAUUUCUAUUGGCUGCUUUGCGCUGAGUUCUGAGUGCUCAACUGUUUCAUCUAGAAAUGGAGACGUCACUCCUGAUGUGAUGGAAUGAUUAUUGGGAUUAUGCUUGAAUCUGGAUGGCCCUGCUUUACAUCUUGGUAGCAAGGAUAAUCACUGUACUGAUGGAGUGACCAUUUCCGUUAAGAUGAAGCAUGGCAACGGCACAUUUCUAUUGGCUGCUUUGCGCUGAGAUUAUGCUUGAAUACUCCUGGAGUCGUCUGGAUGGCCCUGCUUUACAUCUUGGUAGCAAGAAUAAUGGAGAUAUUAUCACUGUACUGAUGGAGUGACCAUUUCCUUUCAGAUGAAGCAUGGCAACGGCACAUUUCUAUUGGCUGCUUUGUGCUGAGGUGAUCGUUCAGUUCUGAGUGCUCAACUGUCAUCUAGAAAUGGAGACGUCACUCCUGAUGUGAUGAAAUGAUCUUUGAGGUGACUGAUCAGUUCUGGUUUUACAAUUCAGAGAAGUGACAUUUAACAGAAUGAACUCAACAUUAUGCUUGAAUACUCCUGGAAUCUGGAUGGCCCUGCUUUACAUCUUGGUAGCAAGAAUAAUCACUGUACUGAUGAAGUGACCAUUUCCGUUAAGAUGAAGCAUGGCAACGGCACAUUUCUAUUGGCUGCUUUGCGCAGAGGUGAUUGUUCAGGUUCGGUUCUGAGAGCUCAACUGUCAUCUAGAAAUGGAGACGUCACUCCUGAUGUGAUGACAUGAUCUUUGAGGUGACUGGUCAGUUCUGGUUCUACAAUUUCAAGAAGUUCCAUUUAACAGAAUGGACUCGUAUUUGCCAUGUCAUCGAUGACCACAACCUGCACGGCAUCAAGACGACUGAUUUAAGAUCAUGAUUGAUAAUAACACUAACAUGAUCGAUAAUAACACAUAUUUACCCGUUCCAAAAAAGUCUCAAUUCUGAUUAUCAUAAGCAUUGAUUUCACCCAAAUGUAGGGAUCUAUAUCUGUAGGGAUCUGUUAUUAUGUUUUAAAAUGCCAUUUACAUGAAGGAGUAUUCUAUGACCAUGUUCCUCUAAAAACAUUGAAGCUUGAGUUAGAAGUACAGCAGUGUCAUGUUUUAAGAAACCUUUUUUCUGUGUAUGCUGUAGUGGGGGUUAGAAUGGACUACUUGCCGCAAAAGUCAUGUGUAUUGUGUGCUGAAUAUAACAUUUAUGUUGUGUGUUUGUGGAAUUUAAUAAAUAAAGCUG